CCUACGGGUGGCAGCAGUGAGGAAUAUUGGUCAAUGGGCGCGAGCCUGAACCAGCCAAGUAGCGUGAAGGAUGACUGCCCUACGGGUUGUAAACUUCUUUUGCCGGGGAGCAAGGGCGGGGACGUGUCCCGGCCCGGAGAGUACCCGGAGAAAAAGCAUCGGCUAACUCCGUGCCAGCAGCCGCGGUAAUACGGAGGAUGCGAGCGUUAUCCGGAUUUAUUGGGUUUAAAGGGAGCGUAGAUGGGUUGUUAAGUCAGUUGUGAAAGUUUGCGGCUCAACCGUAAAAUUGCAAUUGAUACUGGCAGCCUUGAGUACAGUUGAGGUAGGCGGAAUUCGUGGUGUAGCGGUGAAAUGCUUAGAUAUCACGAAGAACUCCGAUUGCGAAGGCAGCCUACUAAACUGCCACUGACAUUGAUGCUCGAAAGUGUGGGUAUCAAACAGGAUUAGAUACCCGGGUAGUC
rnacentral:rRNA from 1 species